ACUCAAAUGAAUAGACGGGGACUCACACAAGCGGUGGAGCAUGUGGCUUAAUUCGAGGCUACGCGAAGAACCUUAUCCUGGGCUUGACAUAUGCGAAAGCGCUCGGAAGUAGCCUACGGAAACGCUAGGCCAACGGUAUCCAGUCCGGAACCGAGUACAGGUGCUGCAUGGCUGUCGUCAGCUCGUGUCGUGAGAUGUCGCGUUAAGUCGCAUAACGAGCGAAACCCUUGUCUCCAGUUGCCAGCGGGUCAUGCCGGGGACUCUGGAGAGACUGCCGGUGUUAAACCGGAGGAAGGCGGGGAUGACGUCAAGUCCUCAUGGCCUUUAUGCCCAGGGCUGCACACGUGCUACAAUGGCGCGUACAAAGGGAUGCAAAUGCGCGAGCACAAGCCAAUCCCAAAAAACGCGCCCCAGUUCAGAUUGCAGGCUGCAACUCGCCUGCAUGAAGUUGGAAUCGCUAGUAAUCGCAGGUCAGCAACACUGCGGUGAAUGUGUUCCUGAGUCUUGUACACACCGCCCGU
rnacentral:rRNA from 1 species